GUCACAAAUAAUUAUAUUACAUCUGAUAGAGAUUAACAUAGUUACAUUUAGUCUUCAACAAUUAUUUUAAACUGGAUUCAAUAUGUACAAUAUUCUAAUUUCUAGACCGUUCUGUGUAACAAUGACAAAAAACUGCAAUCAUUUGUCACGUUUGCAAUAAUAUUGUCUUCCAAACAAAAAUCAAACUAACCACUAAAAAAACUUAAAAUUAGGUGCUGUAGAUUUCUGUUAGUUUAAAAAAAAAACCAGACAAAUGUACAAGAGGACUUACAUAUAAAAAGUGUGGACUGACAUACAAAUGAUAUAGAAGUACUGCCAGCAAAGCUAACAAAAUGAUGAGUUUUCUAUAAAUUGAAAUAAGGGUUUUAGUUUUUUUGGGUGCACAAAGCUGCAAUGGUUUCAGCAAUUUUCUAACAAUUUUAGGAGUUGUGAACACAAAAUGGGCACUUCAAAAUAAAGCACUGGCAAAAUCAGUGAUUAGCUAAAAGCAGCCCCAAAAACAAUUUGGAUAAAACAAACCAGGAUGUAGACAAUGGCCUCAUUAGUGAAGAUCAUUAGAACUAAUAAUCAAAUUAUGAUGAAGGGUUUAGGAGAGAAAGCAGGUACUAAGGUGUUUUUUUUAUGUGAACUGAAGUGUCAGAAUAUGACAUAGUCUAUGUCCUGCCAAAGGUAAACCACAAAAAUCUUUGGAAUGAAAAAUAAAUAAGAGAAGCAAAAACAUCAUAAGACUAAGAGUAUGAUUAAAUUGUAUGUAAAUAUUUCACACUAUUUUGUUAAGAAAACAGGGAGAUAAGGAAAAAACGUGGAUUCCCUAAUUGCUAAAUAUGGUCCUGCUUCAGAAGACUAGGUUAUAAUGAAAAUUCACUAUGAUCACUGAAACUUGAUUUUGAGGUUUUUGCUGAACUAAAAGUUUGACUUUUGACAUAUGAACAUCUGUAAUGCAAGUUAUUAAAGCCCAAAUAAAAAAAUGAGAUGUUUCAAAAAUGACAAAUAUUGUUAGGCAAACAUAACUAAUAUGACAAUAUGAGUUAUCUUUCUUUAUACUCUAUCAAAUCGGAAAUAUGUUAAAAACAGACAAUUAUUGAUUGGGAUUGAAGUAAUAACCUCUCUUUUGAAUUAUUUGUCAACAUUGUAUUUUAUACCUUACUAUACAGUGCAGAUUUUGCUCAUUGUUUGAGGCCACCUGAAGAUGUUCAUUAAUUUUUUCCUUAUUCUUCUGUGAAUAGUUGUCUCAUUGGCAAGCAUACUAUAUAUCUAUAUCUCCUUGCUUUUUAAGUAUUCUGCUUGAUAUUUUUCUAUAAACAGG
rnacentral:lncRNA from 1 species